rnacentral:rRNA from 1 species
GAUGAACGCUGGCGGCGUGCCUAAUACAUGCAAGUAGAACGCUGAAGGAGGAGCUUGCUCUUCUGGAUGAGUUGCGAACGGGUGAGUAACGCGUAGGUAACCUGCCUGGUAGCGGGGGAUAACUAUUGGAAACGAUAGCUAAUACCGCAUGACAACAGUUAUUGCAUGAUAACUGUUUAAAAGGGGCAACUGCUCCACUACCAGAUGGACCUGCGUUGUAUUAGCUAGUUGGUGAGGUAACGGCUCACCAAGGCGACGAUACAUAGCCGACCUGAGAGGGUGAUCGGCCACCCUGGGACUGAGACACGGCCCAGACUCCUACGGGAGGCAGCAGUAGGGAAUCUUCGGCAAUGGACGGAAGUCUGACCGAGCAACGCCGGGUGAGUGAAGAAGGUUUUCGGAUCGUAAAGCUCUGUUGUAAGAGAAGAACAAGUGGGGGAGUGGAAAGUUCACACUGGGACGGUAUUUUACCAGAAAGGGACGGAUAACUACGG